UGUAUUUAUUAGAUUAAAAACCAAUGCCCUUCGGGGCUCACUGGUGAUUCAUGAUAACUCCUCGAAUCGCAUGGCCUUGCGCCGGCGAUGGUUCAUUCAAAUUUCUUCCCUAUCAACUUUCGAUGUUUGGGUAUUGGCCAAACAUGGUUGCAACGGGUAACGGAGGGUUAGGGCUCGACCCCGGAGAAGGAGCCUGAGAAACGGCUACUACAUCCAAGGAAGGCAGCAGGCGCGCAAAUUACCCAAUCCCGACACGGGGAGGUAGUGACAAUAAAUACUGAUACAGGGCUCUUUUGGGUCUUGUAAUUGGAAUGAGUACAAUUUAAAUCCCUUAACGAGGAACAAUUGGAGGGCAAGUCUGGUGCCAGCAGCCGCGGUAAUUCCAGCUCCAAUGGCGUAUAUUAAAGUUGUUGCAGUUAAAAAGCUCGUAGUUGAAACUUGGGCCUGGCUGGCGGGUCCGCCUCACCGCGUGCACUCGUCCGGCCGGGCCUUCCUUCUGAAGAACCUCAUGCCCUUCACUGGGCGUGCUGGGGAACCAGG
rnacentral:rRNA from 1 species